AUACGUAGGGUGCGAGCGUUAAUCGGAAUUACUGGGCGUAAAGCGUGCGCAGGCGGCUUUGCAAGACAGAGGUGAAAUCCCCGGGCUCAACCUGGGAACUGCCUUUGUGACUGCAAGGCUAGAGUACGGCAGAGGGGGAUGGAAUUCCGCGUGUAGCAGUGAAAUGCGUAGAUAUGCGGAGGAACACCAAUGGCGAAGGCAAUCCCCUGGGCCUGUACUGACGCUCAUGCACGAAAGCGUGGGUAGCAAACAGGAUUAGAUACCCUAGUAGUCC
rnacentral:rRNA from 1 species